AAAAGCAUGAAAAGGACUUCAAAUGAUUUUUAAAUUUUUUUUUUAUGUAAUGAUCUGUAAAUAGAACUGUGUUAACUCUAAAAGUAGGAGCUAUAUUGUGUCACUCCAUUUGUCCUUGGCCAGUUGGUCCUAAAAAAUUCAGUGACUCAAUUUCAGUCACAUGUUUCUCUGAAACUACUUCUUAUACUGACUAUUUUAUGUAUGAGCUUCACAGUGAUAACUUGUAAUAUUUGAGCACUUUUCAGAUCUAUCAAACACCUACACAAUGUACAUGUACUGCCUGUAAGCAGAAAAUUGGAACUACAAGGGGGAUAAUUGGUAUUUGUAAUAUGACAU
rnacentral:lncRNA from 1 species